AACGCUGGCGGCAGGCCUAACACAUGCAAGUCGAGCGGAAACGAAGAGUAGCUUGCUACUCUGGCGUCGAGCGGCGGACGGGUGAGUAAUGCUUGGGAACAUGCCUUGAGGUGGGGGACAACAGUUGGAAACGACUGCUAAUACCGCAUAAUGUCUACGGACCAAAGGGGGCUUCGGCUCUCGCCUUUAGAUUGGCCCAAGUGGGAUUAGCUAGUUGGUGAGGUAAUGGCUCACCAAGGCGACGAUCCCUAGCUGGUUUGAGAGGAUGAUCAGCCACACUGGGACUGAGACACGGCCCAGACUCCUACGGGAGGCAGCAGUGGGGAAUAUUGCACAAUGGGCGCAAGCCUGAUGCAGCCAUGCCGCGUGUGUGAAGAAGGCCUUCGGGUUGUAAAGCACUUUCAGUCAGGAGGAAAGGUUAGUAGUUAAUACCUGCUAGCUGUGACGUUACUGACAGAAGAAGCACCGGCUAACUCCGUGCCAGCAGCCGCGGUAAUACGGAGGGUGCGAGCGUUAAUCGGAAUUACUGGGCGUAAAGCGUACGCAGGCGGUUUGUUAAGCGAGAUGUGAAAGCCCCGGGCUCAACCUGGGAACUGCAUUUCGAACUGGCAAACUAGAGUGUGAUAGAGGGUGGUAGAAUUUCAGGUGUAGCGGUGAAAUGCGUAGAGAUCUGAAGGAAUACCGAUGGCGAAAGCAGCCACCUGGGUCAACACUGACGCUCAUGUACGAAAGCGUGGGGGAGCAAACAGGAUUAAAUACCCUGGUAGUCCACGCCGUAAAGAUGUCUACUUAAAACUCGGAACCUCGGCUCUGUUUUUCAAACUAACCCAUUAA
rnacentral:rRNA from 1 species